CCAAUAGCGUAUAUUAAAGUUGUUGCAGUUAAAAAGCUCGUAGUUGAAUUUCGGGGUCAGCAGGUUGGUUGUGCCACUGGUAUGCACUGGCCUCGCUGAUUCCUCCCUCUUGUAGAACCGUAAUGCCAUUAAGUUGGUGUUGCGGGGAAACAGGACUGUUACUUUGAAAAAAUUAGAGUGUUUAAAGCAGGCUAACGCUUGAAUACAUUAGCAUGGAAUAAUGAAAUAGGACGAUCGAUCCUAUUUUGUUGGUUUCUAGGGUUGACGUAAUGAUUAAUAGGGAUAGUUGGGGGCAUUAGUAUUCAAUUGUCAGAGGUGAAAUUCUUGGAUUUAUUGAAGACUAACUACUGCGAAAGCAUUUGCCAAGGAUGUUUUCAUUAAUCAAGAACGAAAGUUAGGGGAUCGAAGACGAUCAGAUACCGUCGUAGUCUUAACCAUAAACUAUGCCGACUAGGGAUCGGAUGAUGUUAAUUUUUUAAUGACUCAUUCGGCGCCUUACG
rnacentral:rRNA from 1 species